UAGGGAAUCUUCGGCAAUGGACGGAAGUCUGACCGAGCAACGCCGCGUGAGUGAAGAAAGUCUUCGGAUUGUAAAGCUCUGUUAUUAGGGAAGAAGGAUUUUAGUAGGGAAUGACUAAAAAGUGACGGUACCUAAUGAGGAAGCCACGGCUAACUACGUGCCAGCAGCCGCGGUAAUACGUAGGUGGCAAGCGUUGUCCGGAAUUAUUGGGCGUAAAGGGUGCGUAGGCGGUCUAUUAAGUCUGGUUUGAAAGCCCAUGGCUUAACCAUGGAUUGAGAUUGGAAACUGGUAGACUUGAGGACAGGAGAGGAAGGUGGAAUUCCACGUGUAGCGGUGAAAUGCGUAGAGAUGUGGAGGAACACCAGUGGCGAAGGCGGCCUUCUGGCCUGUGACUGACGCUGAUGCACGAAAGCGUGGGUAGCAAACA
rnacentral:rRNA from 1 species